rnacentral:rRNA from 1 species
CCCUUAGAUGUUCUGGGCUGCACGCGCGCUACACUGAAGCGUUCAACGAGUAUUCACCUUGCCCGGGAGGGUUGGGUAAUCUUUUCAAAACGCUUCGUGAUGGGGAUAGAUUAUUGCAAUUAUUAAUCUUCAACGAGGAAUUCCUAGUAAGUGCGGGUCAUCAGCUCGCGUUGAUUACGUCCCUGCCCUUUGUACACACCGCCCGUCGCUGCCCGGAACUGAGCCGUUUCGAGAAGACUGAGGAUUGCUGACUUGAGGCCUUCACGGGCUUCUAGUCGGUGAAAAUCAAUUUAAUCGCAGCGGCUUCAACCGGGCAAAAGUCGUAACA